rnacentral:rRNA from 1 species
CAUAGGUUAAUGAGGCGAACCGGGGGAACUGAAACAUCUAAGUACCCCGAGGAAAAGAAAUCAACCGAGAUUCCCCCAGUAGCGGCGAGCGAACGGGGAGCAGCCCAGAGCCUGAAUCAGUAUGUGUGUUAGUGGAAGCGUCUGGAAAGGCGCGCGAUACAGGGUGACAGCCCCGUACACAAAAAUGCACAUGCUGUGAGCUCGAUGAGUAGGGCGGGACACGUGGUAUCCUGUCUGAAUAUGGGGGGACCAUCCUCCAAGGCUAAAUACUCCUGACUGACCGAUAGUGAACCAGUACCGUGAGGGAAAGGCGAAAAGAACCCCGGCGAGGGGAGUGAAAAAGAACCUGAAACCGUGUACGUACAAGCAGUGGGAGCACGCUUAGGCGUGUGACUGCGUACCUUUUGUAUAAUGGGUCAGCGACUUAUAUUCUGUAGCAAGGUUAACCGAAUAGGGGAGCCGAAGGGAAACCGAGUCUUAACUGGGCGUUAAGUUGCAGGGUAUAGACCCGAAACCCGGUGAUCUAGCCAUGGGCAGGUUGAAGGUUGGGUAACACUAACUGGAGGACCGAACCGACUAAUGUUGAAAAAUUAGCGGAUGACUUGUGGCUGGGGGUGAAAGGCCAAUCAAACCGGGAGAUAGCUGGUUCUCCCCGAAAGCUAUUUAGGUAGCGCCUCGUGAAUUCAUCUCCGGGGGUAGAGCACUGUUUCGGCAAGGGGGUCAUCCCGACUUACCAACCCGAUGCAAACUGCGAAUACCGGAGAAUGUUAUCACGGGAGACACACGGCGGGUGCUAACGUCCGUCGUGAAGAGGGAAACAACCCAGACCGCCAGCUAAGGUCCCAAAGUCAUGGUUAAGUGGGAAACGAUGUGGGAAGGCCCAGACAGCCAGGAUGUUGGCUUAGAAGCAGCCAUCAUUUAAAGAAAGCGUAAUAGCUCACUGGUCGAGUCGGCCUGCGCGGAAGAUGUAACGGGGCUAAACCAUGCACCGAAGCUGCGGCAGCGACGCUGAUGCGUUGUUGGGUAGGGGAGCGUUCUGUAAGCCUGCGAAGGUGUGCUGUGAGGCAUGCUGGAGGUAUCAGAAGUGCGAAUGCUGACAUAAGUAACGAUAAAGCGGGUGAAAAGCCCGCUCGCCGGAAGACCAAGGGUUCCUGUCCAACGUUAAUCGGGGCAGGGUGAGUCGACCCCUAAGGCGAGGCCGAAAGGCGUAGUCGAUGGGAAACAGGUUAAUAUUCCUGUACUUGGUGUUACUGCGAAGGGGGGACGGAGAAGGCUAUGUUGGCCGGGCGACGGUUGUCCCGGUUUAAGCGUGUAGGCUGGUUUUCCAGGCAAAUCCGGAAAAUCAAGGCUGAGGCGUGAUGACGAGGCACUGCGGUGCUGAAGCAACAAAUGCCCU